AAACAACCAAUUAUCUCGACACUUUAAUCAUUUGUUUUUCCCUUUGCAUGGAAAAACACUUUAAUCUCUUAAAAACAAUUUAAAAUGAGCUUUGUCUGAGAUUCAAAAUUGAUCUUACAAAGAUUCUAAACCCCAAACCAAAACCUAAACCUAAAACAUCACACAACUUCAGGCUUCAUGAGGAUUUGGCACAUAAAAGCUUCUCAUCUUCAACAAUUUCCCCCUAUUUGAUGGAGACAAAUUUGUGGGAUGCUUUUAGGAAUGUUCCUUGUUU
rnacentral:lncRNA from 1 species